CAGCUGGAGGGGCUACUCCGCGCUCCAGAUCAGAUAAUGAUCUGUCUGGCGGUGGCUGCUCAUCACCGUCUCUGUUCUGAAGCAGAGCAGAGGCCCCUACACUCUGAUCUGAAGCAGAUGGUGUAUUAUUCAAUGCUGGUGAGGCCAGGUCGGAUGAGCCUACCUCCAUAUCAGAUAAUGAUCUGUCUGGCGGUGGCUGCUCAUCACCGUUUCUGUUCUGAGGCAGAGCAGAGGCCCCUACACUCUGAUCUGAAGCAGAUGGUGUAUUAUUCAAUGCUGGUGAGGCCAGGUCGGAUGAGCCUACCGUGGCAAAAGACUCAUGGCCUAGAUAACAACCCUCAAUUAUAUGGUCCUCGCCACCACCACCAGGAGAGCUCUGCUCUCCACUAGAUGUCUGACUUCUAAAGGCAGUUGAUCGAACACCUAGCCCAUAUUUAU
rnacentral:lncRNA from 1 species